CACGACGACUUUGACAAAACUAGCGAUUCGAGGAGAGCCUUACCUCUCGAUGACGGCAAAGAUGAGACAAUAUCAAGUUUGAGCGAUAUCCACAUGGGCGUUUAAACUCUCACAAACACCAUGGAUUCAACUCAUUGAAGACUUCUUCAACUUGACACCAAAUAUCACAAACGUAUCUCAAGAUUGAACCCCAAGGAGUUGAUACCACUGCAACAAACCCAUGAAACUACCAA